rnacentral:rRNA from 1 species
AUUGAACGCUGGCGGCAGGCUUAACACAUGCAAGUCGAACGAGUGGCGGACGGGUGAGUAAUGCUUGGGAAUCUAGCUUAUGGAGGGGGAUAACUACGGGAAACUGUAGCUAAUACCGCGUACCAUAGGAUGAGCUCAAUUGGGAUAAGGUAGUUGGUAAGAUAAAGGCUCACCAAGCCGACGAGCUCUAGCUGGUCUGAGAGAAUGACCAGCCACACUGUGAUUGUGACACGGCCCAGAAUCUUACGGGAGGCAGCAGUGGGGAAUAUUGAGCAAUGGAGGCGACCAGACGCACCCAUGCCGCGUGAAUGAAGAAGGCCUUCGGGUUAUAUAGUUCUUUCGGUAGCGAGGCGUUACCAACAGAAGAAGCACCGGCUAACUCCGUGCCAGCAGCCGCGGUAAAAC